UGAGGAAUAUUGGUCAAUGGGCGCAAGCCUGAACCAGCCGUCCCGCGUGCAGGAAGACGGCGCUAUGCGUUGUAAACUGCUUUUCCAGGGAGAGAAGCUUGCGCACGUGUUGCGCAAUUGACGGUACCCUGGGAAUAAGCAUCGGCUAACUCCGUGCCAGCAGCCGCGGUAAUACGGAGGAUGCGAGCGUUAUCCGGAUUCAUUGGGUUUAAAGGGUGCGUAGGCGGACUAUUAAGUCAGUGGUGAAAUCCUGCAGCUUAACUGCAGAACUGCCAUUGAUACUGAUAGCCUUGAGUUUGGUUAAGGUAGGCGGAAUGUGUAAUGUAGCGGUGAAAUGCUUAGAUAUUACACAGAACACCAAUUGCGUAGGCAGCUUACUGAGCCGACACUGACGCUGAGACACGAAAGCGUGGGGAUCGAACAG
rnacentral:rRNA from 1 species